ACUUACCGCCAUACCAGCCUGAAUAUGCCCGAUCUCGUCUGAUCUCGGAAACUAAGCAGGGUCGGGCCUGGUUAGUACUUAGAUGCAGUGCCGUAGCAAGGGUUCCCUGGGGCCCCAAGCA
ensembl:rRNA 5S_rRNA 5S ribosomal RNA